AGACCCGUGGUGUAGCGGCCCAGCAUCGGGGACUUUGAAUCCCUGGACGAGAGUUCAAAUCUCUCCGGGUCUACCA
rnacentral:tRNA from 1 species